UGGCUCAGUUGGUAGAGCAUGGUGUUUGCAAUGCCAGGGUUGUGGUUUCGAUUCCCAC
rfam:Salmo salar isolate Sally breed double haploid chromosome ssa27, whole genome shotgun sequence.